GUCCUGUGCCCUUGUGCGGACAUUCCUGUUCUGGAGGAUGACACCCUGACUCAUGCAGGGGAAAAGAAGAGCACUGUUGCAGAACACAACAGGAAGACAUUUAGCGCUGCUCUUUGCCAGGAUGACACCUGCAGGGCUGCUGCAGGAGUGGAAGUGAGCCAUGGACUGGAGGGAUAGUGCUGAGAAAACUGAAUUGCUGUACAAAUCUCACGCCAAACUGGAGCACCAUUUUGGCUUCCAUUCUCCUUUUCUGACACCUGUAGACUGCAUCAAUUCAGGACCACAUGAAGUCUAAAGGUGAUUACACAAAUGGCACUUCGGCAACUGCUGAGCUAUAGGAAAUUGAAAGAAUUCUGACAUUUGCCCUGUUUUAAGAAGAUCUCCUGGGCUGUGCUUUCAUCUUCUCUAAAGCCUCUUUAUCAUGAAGUAGAGAGAGUACUUGAAUUAUAAUAGGUCAGUGUGAGCUUUUGCAUUCUUCGCACAAUAGCUUCUGAAGGAGUUACUGGAAAUUAUCCUUAAAAUGGUCUGUCGCGGUAGUGUUGUAGUAGCAACAGUAAUUUGUCACUGGAUGACUUCCUGGCUGUUCCAAAAACCUCAAAGUUUUCUUGUAGGAUGGGAUUGGAAGCUGGCAUGAAUUGCCUGGGGUUUUGGUCUCUCUCUUCCCCUCAAGAAACAAGAUUGAUUUUUAAUUGGAAGAUAACAUAUUUGCACUUCCUAUGUGGGCUAAAUUGAAUUUCUAAGUAGGAUUUUGUAGCCUAUAACAUUUGACCUAAUUUUUGGAUGGCUUACAUUUAAGGCGUUAAUUUACUGAGCUAUAGUUUAGUAUUUUUUUCCAUGACUUUCAAUAGCGAACCAACUCUAAUGUGAUGUAACUAGCUGAGUCUGCAAAACCCAGUGAAACUUCUGUCUUGCUGUGAUAACGCUUUUGUAGCUAAAAAGGCAGGUUUUACAGACCUGCCCACUCCCAAAUGAGGCUUAGAAAAACAAGCAUUUCUCUCAGUUACUGGCCUGCCUCCCCUCUGUAUGUGCACUAGUAUAACUGACAGGUAUUAAUACAACAAAACUGAUGAUAUCAGGUAUCAGUUAAUUUGAAGUGGUGCUACAACAUGCUCAAAACUUUAUGCUAAUUUUGCAUGAAUACUAUGGAAUUUUAAGCUAAAUAUAUUUAAGAUCUCUCUGUAUUACCUAUCUGUAAUGAUAACUGCACAGAACUGGAAGGGGUAUCUCUUGCUUCUGUCUCCUUAAUUUCAAAACCAUUUUCUUAGAUGAACUGAAGUCUUUCUUGUAUAUGAUUUUAAAUGAUAUGGGUUAAAUAAAGUAUGGUUUAAAUGAUAGAGCCA
rnacentral:lncRNA from 1 species